rnacentral:rRNA from 18 species
CAUUAGCUAGUUGGUGAGGUAACGGCUCACCAAGGCGACGAUGCGUAGCCGACCUGAGAGGGUGAUCGGCCACACUGGGACUGAGACACGGCCCAGACUCCUACGGGAGGCAGCAGUAGGGAAUCUUCCGCAAUGGACGAAAGUCUGACGGAGCAACGCCGCGUGAGUGAUGAAGGUUUUCGGAUCGUAAAGCUCUGUUGUUAGGGAAGAACAAGUGCAAGAGUAACUGCUUGCACCAUGACGGUACCUAACCAGAAAGCCACGGCUAACUACGUGCCAGCAGCCGCGGUAAUACGUAGGUGGCAAGCGUUGUCCGGAAUUAUUGGGCGUAAAGGGCUCGCAGGCGGUUUCUUAAGUCUGAUGUGAAAGCCCCCGGCUCAACCGGGGAGGGUCAUUGGAAACUGGGAAACUUGAGUGCAGAAGAGGAGAGUGGAAUUCCACGUGUAGCGGUGAAAUGCGUAGAGAUGUGGAGGAACACCAGUGGCGAAGGCGACUCUCUGGUCUGUAACUGACGCUGAGGAGCGAAAGCGUGGGGAGCGAACAGGAUUAGAUACCCUGGUAGUCCACGCCGUAAACGAUGAGUGCUAAGUGUUAGGGGGUUUCCGCCCCUUAGUGCUGCAGCUAACGCAUUAAGCACUCCGCCUGGGGAGUACGGUCGCAAGACUGAAACUCAAAGGAAUUGACGGGGGCCCGCACAAGCGGUGGAGCAUGUGGUUUAAUUCGAAGCAACGCGAAGAACCUUACCAGGUCUUGACAUCCUCUGACAACCCUAGAGAUAGGGCUUUCCCUUCGGGGACAGAGUGACAGGUGGUGCAUGGUUGUCGUCAGCUCGUGUCGUGAGAUGUUGGGUUAAGUCCCGCAACGAGCGCAACCCUUGAUCUUAGUUGCCAGCAUUCAGUUGGGCACUCUAAGGUGACUGCCGGUGACAAACCGGAGGAAGGUGGGGAUGACGUCAAAUCAUCAUGCCCCUUAUGACCUGGGCUACACACGUG